GAGGGUACCCUUUGAACCUGCCUAGUUCAACAAAAUGAACUAAAAAUUUAAAAUAACAUCACUUUUUGAAAAACUAGUUCAUUUGUUUGAACUAAGGAGCGUCAGAGGGUACCCUG
rfam:Brachypodium distachyon strain Bd21 chromosome 5, whole genome shotgun sequence.